UACGUAGGGUGCAAGCGUUGUCCGGAAUUAUUGGGCGUAAAGGGUGGGCAGGUGGCCGGUGAUGUGCCGUGUGAAAGCGCCGUAGUUAUGACGGCGAGGUCGCGGUAGACACAUCGGCUUGAGGCAGUGAGGGGGCGGUGGAAUUCCCGGUGUAGUGGUGAAAUGCGUAGAUAUCGAGGAGAACACCAGUAGCGAAGGCAGCUCCGCUGG
rnacentral:rRNA from 1 species